AAAUCCGUCGACUUUAGAAAUCGUG
rnacentral:tRNA from 1 species